GAAGGUAUAGCUCAGCUGAUAGAGUGUGUGCUUAGCAUGCAUGAGGUCCUGGGUUCAAUCCCCAGUGCCUCCA
rnacentral:tRNA from 1 species